AGAGUUUGAUCAUGGCUCAGGACGAACGCUGGCGGCGCGCCUAACACAUGCAAGUCGAACGAGCGAGAGAGAGCUUGCUUUCUCGAGCGAGUGGCGAACGGGUGAGUAACGCGUGAGGAACCUGCCUCAAANAGGGGGACAACAGUUGGAAACGACUGCUAAUACCGCAUAAGCCCACAGCUCGGCAUCGAGCAGAGGGAAAAGGAGCAAUCCGCUUUGAGAUGGCCUCGCGUCCGAUUAGCUAGUUGGUGAGGUAAUGGCCCACCAAGGCGACGAUCGGUAGCCGGACUGAGAGGUUGAACGGCCACCAUUGGGACUGAGACACGGCCCAGACUCCUACGGGAGGCAGCA
rnacentral:rRNA from 1 species